rnacentral:rRNA from 1 species
AUGGCGCUUCUCAAGAACAUCCCAGGGGUUUUGUGCUUGGCAGCCCUUCUUGUGAUAUCCGCCACCUUCUUAUCAUGUGAUGCAUCCUACGGGGUCAAAGAUGGAGAAGGUUUUAACAAGUUCUGUGUGGGUUGGGACCAAGGCUGCAAGGACCCGGUGAAUGGAAUCCCUAGUCAGUGUCAGAUUUACUGCAGAGACAACGGUUUUGUCUUAGAGAAAGGCAAAUGUGCACCGGACAAUGGAAAGCCCAACCGCAUGUGCUGCUGCUAUAAGGACUUGCCGGCGGACGCCCUGGGGCACAUCAUGGAGCGGCUGCGGCUGCCGCCCAACGCGCGCUGCCCUCUUCGCCUCGUCUGCCGGCAUUGGCGCGACGUCAUCGACCAGCUCUCGGCGAUUGACUUGCGCAGCCGCCCCAAGAUCCUCGCCUUCAGCCCCGAGGGCCUCGCGUACGUCGGCGACGUCGUCCUGCCGCCGGAGGGCGGCGGAGAACCGUCGUGGUCGACGGACCACUCCAUGCCUGCAAUCUACGGUUCCAUGAGUAUGGUCGGCACCUGCAACGGCCUCGUGUGCCUGUGCGAUGACGGGGUGCCCGGCGGCGCCGUCAUGCUGGCCAACCCGUCGACCGGCCAAUCGCUCGCCGUCCCGCCGCUGCCGCUGUCCGACGCCGCCGUCCAGCUGCUGUGGAACAGCACCUGCACCAUGGCGUGGCACCAGACGUACAUCUUAGCGCGGCACCCUGCGACGGGGCGGUACAAGGUCGUGCACGUCCCGCGCCACUUCGACCGGUUCUGGGAGCCCGGCACGGUGCACGUGUUCACGCUGGGGGAGGCGUCGUGGCGGGACGUGCAGGCCGGCCCAGACGCCAGGUGCAUCCACGGCGCCUACCGCCUCGCCGACGUCGACGGCACGGUGUAUUGGGUCGCGGAGACGGAGGACGCCGCGAAGAUCAUGUCCUUCGACCUUGAAGACGAGAGCGUGCACGGGAGGCUGGGCGUUGCCAUCAUCGGCGACGACUCGCUGACAGUGUGGGUCCUCGAGGACGAGCGGUGGUGUCUCCGGUACGUCGUGGAGGCGCACAGGCUGCGGCAGCAGCAGCCGUGGCUGAGGCGGGACCCCGUGGUGCCGCACUUUGCUCACGGCGACUACAUCUUCAUGCAUCGAGAUCGAGACCGCAAGAUGUACGGGCACAAGGUGAGUGAAGCGGCGAGGUUGCCGGACGGCGUGCUGCAGAUCAGAGACAACAGGGACCUCGACGAGGAAAUACUUUCUCUCCCGUGCCUUAUUGACCGGAUGUUUGCCUACGUCGAGACCAAGGAGCCGUUAAAUGUUUACAAAGCAGCGUUGGUAGCGAGCGUCAGCUCAGGCUGUCCCCGGAACGAAUGUGCCCCCCAGGGAGCGUCGAAAGAGCGAAUGAUGCCGUUCUCUGGAGGCGUUCGCUUCAGGGGGGUUCUGCGUGACGGCCAGCUGGGCCAGAAGCCAGGGAGCGCACCAAAAAAGAAGUUGAAACUGGCUAGGCCUAGUUGGUUGUCUUUUCACAAAAAAAAAAAAAAACUGGACGUGAAUAGCCUGCCAUCGUUCGUCAGCCGGGGAUUGGCAAUUUUUAAAACUGCCAUGGCAAUUCGUUUAAAUCUAAGGAGUUUUUGGUGCAAAAGUGCCACCAUCUACGGAAAACAAUGA